GGGUAAAUAAACGUGGGAUGAUAUGAAGGGCCCGACGUGGAGGACCGCUGUCACAAAUGGGAGAUCAAUCUUCAAUUUGUCGCGUUAUCACGACGAGGCCUCUCUUCGCCCUUGUUAGACCCCCUCGUAAGAGAGCUGCACGCUCUCCCCGAGGGGGAAGAAACGGGGCCCUGUCACGUUCCCUCGUUCGCCGUGUCUCGGGGAGAGAGAGAAGGAGAGAAAGAGAGAGAGAGAGGCGAGAGCGCAAAGCGAAAGGAAUAUGUAACAACAUAAUGCGGACUUACGGACGCUAUAUCGAAUACAACGAUUGGAAACGGU